GAUGGUACAUGGCUCAUUGGUAGAACAUCUGCCUUUCGUGCAGAAGGUCCCAGGUUCAAUUUCUGGCAUCUUCA
rnacentral:tRNA from 1 species